rnacentral:rRNA from 1 species
GACGAACGCUGGCGGCGUGCUUAACACAUGCAAGUCGAACGGAAAGGCCCUGCUUUUGUGGGGUGCUCGAGUGGCGAACGGGUGUGUAACACGUGAGUAUCCUGCCCUUGACUUUGGGAUAUCUUCAGGAAACUGGGGCUAAUACCGGAUAGGAGCUCCUGCAGCAUGGUGGGGGUCGGAACGUUUCGGCGGUUGGGGAUCGACUCGCGGGUUAUCAGCUUGUUGGUGGGGUAGUUGCUUACCAAGGCUUUGACGGGUAGCCGGCCUGAGAGGGUGACCGGCCACAUUAGGACUGAGAUACGGACCAGACGCGUACGGGAGGCAGCAGUGGGGAGUAUUGCACAAUGGGCGGGAGCCUGAUGAAGCAACGCCGCGAGCGGGAAGACGGCCUACGGGUUGUAAACCGCUUUCGCCUGUGACGAAGCGUGAGUGACGGUAAUGGGUAAAGAAGCACCGGCUAACUACGUG